CGGUAGUCCACGCCCUAAACGAUGUUCACUAGUCGUCGGGAUGCUAGUCAUCUCGGUGAUGCACUUAACAGAUUAAGUGAACCGCCUGGGGAGUACGGUCGCAAGAUUAAAACUCAAAGGAAUAGACGGGGACCCGCACAAGUGGUGGAGCAUGUGGUUUAAUUCGAAAAUACGCGAAGAACCUUACCUAGCCUUGACAUUGAUUGAACGGACCAGAGAUGGACCGGUGCCCUUCGGGGAACAUGAAAACAGGUGCUGCACGGCUGUCGUCAGCUCGUGUCGUGAGAUGUUGGGUUAAGUCCCGCAACGAGCGCAACCCUCGUCAAUAGUUGCCAGCAGGUUAAGCUGGGCACUCUAUUGAGACUGCCUUUCGCAAGGAGGAGGAAGGUGAGGACGACGUCAAGUCAUCAUGGCCCUUAUGGCUAGGGCUACACACGUGCUACAAUGGGGGCGUACAGAGAGUUGCGAUACCGCGAGGUGGAGCCAAUCUCAU
rnacentral:rRNA from 1 species